AGUGAACGCUGGCGGUAGGCCUAACACAUGCAAGUCGAACGGCAGCACAGUAAGAGCUUGCUCUUACGGGUGGCGAGUGGCGGACGGGUGAGGAAUACAUCGGAAUCUACUUUUUCGUGGGGGAUAACGUAGGGAAACUUACGCUAAUACCGCAUACGACCUACGGGUGAAAGCAGGGGAUCUUCGGACCUUGCGCGAUUGAAUGAGCCGAUGUCGGAUUAGCUAGUUGGCGGGGUAAAGGCCCACCAAGGCGACGAUCCGUAGCUGGUCUGUGAGGAUGAUCAGCCACACUGGAACUGAGACACGGUCCAGACUCCUACGGGAGGCAGCAGUGGGGAAUAUUGGACAAUGGGCGCAAGCCUGAUCCAGCCAGACCGCGUGGGUGAAGAAGGCCUUCGGGUUGUAAAGCCCUUUUGUUGGGAAAGAAAAGCAGCAGGUUAAUACCCCGCUGUUCUGACGGUACCCAAAGAAUAAGCACCGGCUAACUUCGUG
rnacentral:rRNA from 1 species